rnacentral:tRNA from 1 species
GCCUGGCUGGCUCAGUCAGUGGAGCAUGGGACUCUUGAUCUCAAGGUUGUGAGUUCGAGCCCCGCGUCGGGUG